CAAAAUUCAACAGUUCAUUUAAAAGUUGGUUGUCCUUUCUGCAUUCCUGGAUUUUUAGCUCCACCAUUCACCUUCUCCUAACAGCCCAGAGAAAGGCUGCUCAGAGAACUUGUGAGUAAGGAUGCCCGUGAAAAUACUUUUGAAGGUGCUGGAGUCUAUUAGUGUUGGUCACUAUUUAAGUACCACCUCCUAAGAGCAAAGGAACAGGCAAUUCCAAAAUGUUGGAAGUCAAGCAGGACCCUUCUGGACAAAACACCCAGCAAACAAAACACCCAGCCCACAGCUGGAUAAACAGAUCGCAUGGUGGGUGAGUAACUGGCUCAUGGGUCAGGCACAAAGGGUGACAGUGAAUGGAGUGAAAUCACACUGGUGACCUGUAACUAGUGGGAUUCCACAGCGCUCCCAUCUGCUCUUCAGAUCUUCAUAAACAACUUAGACACAGGAUUCAUAGGUAAAUUAAAGAAGUUUGCUCCCAUUAAACUGGGAGAUGCUGAAAGAGGCUGGAAAGCAGCACAGAAACAGAUCUGGGAAUCCCGGUCAAUGGUAAGUUGGAUCUGAGUCAGCAGUGCCCUGGUGGUCAGGAGGGACAACCUUGUCCUGUGGACAUCAGGCCCAGCAUCACCAGCUGGGCAAGGAAGGAGAUUGCCCAACUCUGCUCUGCUUUGGGGCAGCCUCAUGUCAGGUGCUGGGGGCAUUUUUGGAUACCACCAUGUUAGAUAUAAAGGUAUUAGAGAAUGUCUAAAGGAGGGCCAUGAAGGUGGUAAAGGGCCUUGAGGGGAAGUCAUACAAGGAGAGGCUGAGUGCACUUGAUCUGUUCAGAUUGGAGAAAAGGAGACUGAGUUACAUUGCAGUUACAACUUCCUGUGAAUGGAAAAGGAGGGGCAGACUUUGAUCUCUUCUUUGUAGUGACCAGUGACAGGAUCCAAGGGAAUGGCCUAAAGUUGAGUCAGGAGGGGUUUGACUAACUAAUUAUCAGGAAAUUUUUUUUCAUCCAGAGGUUAUUUGGGCACUGGAACAGGCUCCCCUGGGCAGUGGUCACAGCACCAAGCCUGACAGAAUACAAGUGUUUGGACAAUGCUCUCAGACACAUGGUAGGACUCUUGGGGAUGGUGCUGUGUGGGGCCGGGAGUUGCAUUUGAUGGUCCUUGUGAGUCCCUUUCAGCUCAGAAUAUUCUAUGACUGUGUGACUUUUUUUCUACAUUUCCUUUCCCAAGCUAGACAUGCUCUUUUUCAAAUGCUUUGGGACUGCUUUAUAGCUUUUUUUUUUUUACAUACUUCUGAAUUAUUUUAAAGAAGCAAAAAUCCAGUGAUACCACUUAAAUGUUAGUUUGGAUCUCUUGCCCAGGUAGUGAAAUUUUGUAAGGCAUAGUGCUGGCUUUUACACUAAUAAUGUAGGAUACCACAUCCUCUCUAAAGCUUUCUGCUCACAUCAGUCCUAGGUGGCACAGAAUGAAAUUGCAAGCCCAGAAACACACUACCCAAGAACUUUCAAAUUCAGAGCAGUGCAGUCAUUGAAAUAUUGAGUGGUAAUGUAAUGUGCCUUGUUUUUAAAACUUGUCUGUGACUGAUCAGCCUCUGUAUGCCUUGUUGCACUAAGGUUCUUGUCUAAAAUCACAAUGCUCUAAAUGACCCUGGUGCACAUGGCAGUGAGUGCUAAAGCUGUACCUCAUGGUGCUUGCUAGUUCACAUUUUGAUCAAGUGUGGGUAAUAAGUGGCCUAAAGCUAACUAAACUUAUUGUUUCUUACAGGUCCAGCUGAGUUACUGAAAUGUGUCUGCAUGCCUCAGGAUACCAAAUUUGUGACUUGAAAUACAGAUUAUUGAUUAUUGCUUUGGAAAAAGUAGCCAGAGGCAAUUAAGGAGACAUCAUAUAACUUCUAAAUUAAAUGAUGGUUAUCCAUGAUAAUUUUCAGCUGAGAUAUUGGCAACUUAUUAGAAGCAGCUUUGAGAUAAAAUAA